UACAGAGGUCCCGAGCGUUGUUCGGAUUCACUGGGCGUAAAGGGUGCGUAGGUGGCUUGAAAAGUUUGAUGUGAAAGCUCAGGGCUUAACCCUGAAAUGGCAUUGAAUACUGUCGGGCUGGAGGUUUGGAGGGGGGACUGGAAUUCUUGGUGUAGCAGUGAAAUGCGUAGAUAUCAAGAGGAACACCAGUGGCGAAGGCGAGUCCCUGGACAACACCUGACACUGAGGCACGAAAGCCAGGGGAGCAAACGGG
rnacentral:rRNA from 1 species